UACGAAGGGGGCUAGCGUUGCUCGGAAUCACUGGGCGUAAAGCGUGCGCAGGCGGCUUUGCAAGACAGAUGUGAAAUCCCACGGCUCAACCGUGGAAGUGCAUUCGAAACUGCAGGGCUAGAGUCCUGGAGAGGAAGGUGGAAUGCUUGGUGUAGAGGUGAAAUUCGUAGAUAUCAAGCGGAACACCGGUGGCGAAGGCGGCCUUCUGGACAGUGACUGACGCUGAGACGCGAAAGCGUGGGGAGCAAACAGGAUAGAA
rnacentral:rRNA from 1 species